UUCAAAACCAAAGGUUGUUGUUGGUAACAUGAAGAUUGAGACUACCUCUCUCAAUUCCACACCAGCAUAAUCCCUGUGUUUAAUUUCAGAUGUUGGCAGCAGAGUGGAAUUUGAAGGAUCAUUAUUCAUAGAUUAAACAACCACAGUCCUUCAGAUAACAGUUGGAUGGAAUUGUGAAAACUCAACUAGUUACUUUUUAUGCUACUGAGAUCAUUAGUUCGAAGUGGCACAAACUGUGAUUUUCCACCAACUCUUUGAUGUUUAAAGUGAACAGAAGGACUCAAGUCAUCAGACUCUUCAAUAGUGAAAAACAAGGAAAUCAAAAACCAGAACUUUGGAGUAGGGGAAGAACAAAAUUUUCUUUUGCAUGUGUGUAUAUAUGUUUCUAUCUGUGUGUAUAUUUAUGAGUAUGUACAGUGUAUAUAUUGUAUAUGCAUAUUCAUAUGUGGAAGUACAGGUGUGCACAUGCCACACUGACAUGUGGAGGUGGGAAGACACCACAGAUGUCACUCUUCCCUCUCCACCUUGUUUGCCCUGGUUUUCUUGUUGUUGGUUACUGCAUAUGCCAGGCUAGCUGGCUGUUAAGCUUCUAGAGAGUCUCUGUCUUGGCUUCCUAUUUCACUGUAAAUGGCUGGGAAUACAGACAUAUGGUGUUAUACAGGUUUUAUGUAAGUCCUAGAGAUUGGAACACAAGUCUUCACGUUUGCAUGGUAAAUACCUUACUCAUGAGCCGUCUCUUUAUCCUAGAAUAAAUAGUUUUAAAGGGUCAUCAAUGAGUAAACAGAAUGCUACCAAAACAAAGAGAGGAAGAACAAUGAUCCUUGGUAUAAGUGACAGCUUCCCAAACUGUGAGUUAUAAAAUCUAAAUGAAAAAAAAUGUUCUUAAUAUUUAUCAUCCAAAAUUACAAUGAAAAUUUGAGAAGAUUCAAUGAAAAAUACCAGAAAAAUUAAAAUAGCAAGAUAAGAACAUAGAAGCUACUUUUUUAAUUUGUUGAUUAGGACCUCCAAAUAAAGUCUAAUGUGUAUGUGAACAGGCAUUCCAGGAUGAAAGAACACAGGGGUUUCAUGUUAAAGACUGCAAGAAGGUUCUGAAAACUGAAGACUUUCACUUAUCUAGCACGAUUGAACAAUCACACUGGGGUGGAUAAAAACGGAGUGCUGGGGAGAAGUAUGCAGCGUUAAACCUCUGCAGUUCAACAUUACACCCCAGAAGAGUAAAACCCUUUAGGGGAAUACAUAUCAGUGACAUUUACCUUGGACUAUGUCUCCAUGCCUGUAAAAACAAGAGGAUGGCAGAGCAGAUCAGGUGGCAUAGGCCAUCCAUUCCACUUCCUUGGUCUGGUUGACGGCCAGGCAAGAGAUGAUAGAGACCAUUGAAAAUUUGACCUGGAAAUACUGUCCAGCAUCUUAUAAGUAUCCAUCAGGACAUCAGAAUUGGACAACCCAGUGUAUGCUCUCAGGAUGCACCUGUGCACUUUGUUUGAGCCUGCAAGAACUAUGGGUCCUGGUGAUCAAAUCUCAACCUUGGAACUCACAGGAAUUCAUACCCUAGCAUUACUUUGGAGAGGAUUCCUAAUACUUACAUUGCACCAGGAAAUGCUUUGUUGCCUUGACUGGAUGUUUUCAGCAUCUCUACAUCUUCAAAACCGAGAUAAUUUUAGUCAUACACAAGCAGAUGGAGGCUGAAAUUGAAUUGCUGCUGACUGUUGUCCCCUGUUAUGGCCUGUGGAGAUAUGACAAUUGAGGAAGAACUUAAAAGAAUGCCAAGUAACAGAGCAUGAAGAAGAGGGUGUGACUGGUGCCGAAGACAUUUUAUGGCUGAUGGUAUUUGGCAAGAAAAAAAUAUGCAUCCUUGACUGUAUCUUUGCAAAAUAAUUCCACCAUCAACCAUGCCUCAACACCUGUAAUUUAUUUGUCCCAUAAUUUAUUCAUUUUUCCAAAUCACAGUGUUCUUAUAUUAACCAUCUUCACGUUUCCACUUACAAAAGACUAAAUAAUUACACCACCUUGGAAGAAAUUUCUUUAUUUCAGAGGGAAUUUGGGUGCAGAAGACUGAGUCCAUAGAUAUCCAAUGUCUUGUCUGACUUACUUUGAAAUUCUUUGGGGGCUUGUUCUGGGUUGUGCAUGCUACUAGCUCAAGUCUUGCCCUUAACAGAGAGUCUGUAGCCUUCUGCAAGAUUCUUGAAGGAAUUUAGGACUUCAGAAAGCUUACAAAUUCCUGUUUUGGAUCUUUGGUUUAUGGGGCAGUGUAACUAUGCAUGUUUACUUUAUCGAUUGAGACAGAGCAUUUAAUGCAAAUAAGAACGACAGAGUGGUAGAGAAAACAGCUUGGAGGACAUUAUUACCUUUCCCAAUCCUCAUUUCUUGUCAUGAAUUAUUAAUCAUGAGGUAGCACCUCAUCUGAUGCUUUGAAAACUCUCCCCCUGGUAAGAACAGGCUAAUUGAAUUGGAGGAAGUGGAGCAGGAAAAACUAAACGUGGAUGUUGAUGGUUACACCAAAAGCAAUUAUCCACCCUUCAGCCUUCUCCACCUGUUGGAAAACCCAAGGCUCGCUAAUUCUUGUGCCAUGAGGGAAGAAAUGGAAAAGAAGAGGAAAAUGUUAAAGCAAUGCAUUCCAGUACAUCUUUCUUGAGAGUAAUUCAUUUGACUAAGAGGUGUAUGGGGGCAUUAGAAGGAGUAGGGGUAUGGGAAGAGGUCUGACACACCAGAGAUAAGAAUACAAACCAGUCCAAUCCCCAUCAGUGCUGCUUGGUAAAGCAACAAAAGCCUUAAUUUAGGUAAUAACUUUACCCAGCAACUCUCCCAUGAGGAGAUUUAUCUUGGCAGUUUAUAUAUGUGUAAAUAUUUGAAAUAAUUCAUAUGCAUAAUAAAAUAUGAAACCAUCA